AAAGAGUCCAGACAUCCGCAGACUUCAAACAAUCCCUGGGACUUGUGUCCCUGUUAGCACCAAUCCCAUACAAGUUACUGAUUGUUAGAGACAAUUCCGUCACAAUGCAUUCUUCUUGGAGCUCUUGAUUCAGCUAUCAUCAUGCCGUGUCUUUAGAGUCUGGGUUUUUGCUGUUGUGUUGAGAUCCUGAAAGAAGAGGAAAUUUGUGCUUACUCCUAUUUUCUUAUCUCCCUAAGAGAAGAGCAGCUGCCAACAAGUUAGAUGAGAUCUAACAUUGACUGGACUUGGUUGGCAAAAAAGCAACAUUGCUGUGGGCUCAACGGUACUCUGCUCUCUUAGAUCAUCUCUUGGUUUCUCAUCUCAUCUUUGGAUGUACCGAAUGGCAGUAUGCUGUACAUGAAUAGACGACUGAGAGGAACAUUCUUCAUCUGUAUGUAUCAUCAGAAAAUGCUCCGGAGAAGAACUAAGUGUACCCGUACGUAACGCGGAGGUUAGAAGAAGUUUGAUAUUGUCAUCCAGGUAUGUGAUAUUUCAACCCCCAACAAGUAUAAACAAUGAUAGCUAAUGCAUAUGGGCAGCACUGUACAUGACAAUGUAUUGUACAUGUAUGGGCUGAAUUAACUUUAUAACAACUAUCAGGUAAGUACCAAUAUAUCCCCAUUUUACAGAUGAGGAUAAGAAAGUGAGUUAAUGCUUUUGGAUCCAGUGAAUGAAUAAUAAUCUUAAGAACAAGGAGUAUAAAAUUUAUCUGGUGUUAUGACACAGAAGGAAAUUGCAAGGAAGCUACAGAACUCACAGCUGUCAUAUAGACUUAUUACUCCCAUCCUUUAAAAGAGUAUUACCUAAGUAAAUUCAUUUCAUGAAUUCUUUGCUGUUAUUU
rnacentral:lncRNA from 1 species